rnacentral:lncRNA from 1 species
ACUAACUGAAAUGAAAGGAAAAAGUAUGACAAUGCAUGAGUAUUGCAAGAAUUAGUUAACACAGCUAUUGGAGAUUCAUUUGCAGUACCACGAAAAAUGGGUAAAGGAACAAUUUUCAUGUAGGAAGAUGCAUUCAUGGUUUGUGGUGGAUUAGGGACAUUAGAAGUAGAAAUUGAAGGACUUUAUGGAACAUCAAUGUGUGCAUCCUCUAGAAAAAUGGUUCACCACUGAUAGUGGUGGGACCCAGUUAGUUUGAGUGAAUUUGGA